rnacentral:rRNA from 1 species
GAUGAACGCUGGCGGCGUGCCUAAUACAUGCAAGUCGAGCGAACAGACGAGGAGCUUGCUCCUCUGACGUUAGCGGCGGAAGGGUGAGUAACACGUGGAUAACCUACCUAUAAGACUGGGAUACCUUCGGGAAACCGGAGCUAAAACCGGAUAAUAUAUUGAACCGCAUGGUUCAAUAGUGAAAGACGGUUUUGCUGUCACUUAUAGAUGGAUCCGCGCCGCAUUAGCUAGUUGGUAAGGUAACGGCUUACCAAGGCAACGAUGCGUAGCCGACCUGAGAGGGUGAUCGGCCACACUGGAACUGAGACACGGUCCAGACUCCUAAGGGAGGCAGCAGUAGGGAAUCUUCCGCAAUGGGCGAAAGCCUGACGGAGCAACGCCGCGUGAGUGAUGAAGGUCUUCGGAUCGUAAAACUCUGUUAUUAGGGAAGAACAAAUGUGUAAGUAACUAUGCACGUCUUGACGGUACCUAAUCAGAAAGCCACGGCUAGCUACGUG